rnacentral:tRNA from 1 species
GUCGGCGUAGCUCAGUUGGUUAGAGCAUGGCACUCAUAAAGCCAAGGUCGGAGGUUCGAUCCCUCCCGUCGACACAA